AUGUUAUUGCACAGCCUUGGCCAAAUUCCUCGUUUGUUACUUCGACAUUCUUCAACAUCCCAACGAAUCCGACCAAUCUCCUCUUCCUUAAUCAAGAUGGCUUCACAACACUACACUUUUGGACCCUACAAGAUACACCCCACUGAAGUCUUCUACUCAACCAAUCUCUCUUAUGCUAUGGUUAACCUGCGCCCUCUUCUCCCUGGUCAUAUCCUUUUUUAUGGGUUUCAAUAA